rnacentral:rRNA from 1 species
CCUACGGGAGGCUGCAGUGGGGGAUAUUGGACAAUGGGGGGAACCCUGAUCCAGCGACGCCGCGUGAGUGAAGAAGUAUUUCGGUAUGUAAAGCUCUGUCAGCAGGGAAGAAAGAAAUGACGGUACCUGACCAAGAAGCCCCGGCUAACUACGUGCCAGCAGCCGCGGUAAUCCGUAGGGGGCAAGCGUUAUCCGGAAUUACUGGGUGUAACGGGAGCGUAGACGGUUAAGUAAUUCUGGAGUGAAAGGCCGGGGCCCAACCCCGGGACUGCUCUGGAAACUAUUGAACUUGAGUGCAGGAGAGGGAAGCGGAAGUCCUAGUGUAGCGGUGAAAUGCGUAGAUAUUAGGAGGAACACCAGUGGCGAAGGCGGCUUACUGGACUGUAACUGACGUUGAGGCUCGAAAGCGUGGGGAGCAAACAGGAUUAGAUACCCUGGUAGUC